GAUGAACGCUGGCGGCGUGCCUAAUACAUGCAAGUCGAGCGAACGGACGAGAAGCUUGCUUCUCUGAUGUUAGCGGCGGACGGGUGAGUAACACGUGGAUAACCUACCUAUAAGACUGGGAUAACUUCGGGAAACCGGAGCUAAUACCGGAUAAUAUUUUGAACCGCAUGGUUCAAAAGUGAAAGACGGUCUUGCUGUCACUUAUAGAUGGAUCCGCGCUGCAUUAGCUAGUUGGUAAGGUAACGGCUUACCAAGGCAACGAUGCAUAGCCGACCUGAGAGGGUGAUCGGCCACACUGGAACUGAGACACGGUCCAGACUCCUACGGGAGGCAGCAGUAGGGAAUCUUCCGCAGUGGGCGAAAGCCUGACGGAGCAACGCCGCGUGAGUGAUGAAGGUCCUCGGAUCGUAAAACUCUGUUAUUAGGGAAGAACAUAUGUGUAAGUAACUGUGCACAUCUUGACGGUACCUAAUCAGAAAGCCACGGCUAACUACGU
rnacentral:rRNA from 1 species